UUUUUUUUUAAUUAAAAAAAUAAAAACAAAACUAAAAAGUGUGUUCGGUAGGGUAAUUUUAUUUUUUGUUUUUAAAAUUAAAAAUAAAACUAAAUAAAUUUUAAAAACAGAUUUUGUUGAUUUUAAAAAUUUUAAAAAUACUUUUUCUCAGUUGGCUUCUCUCUCGCUUAUUUUCUUAGAAGCUCAAGUUCUCUUCCAUGGUUUCAGCUACUCCACGGAUUUGAAAAUGUAAAAGAAGAAUAUCAUAUGAUAAGAGUAGCUUGAGGAAAAAAUUUUGUUGUUACAGUAUUAUCUCCUAUAAAUCUCACCAAUUAGAGCUUUGGGUUUCUUCUUUGAAAAAGAUCACGUCGAGACAAUUGACAAGGCGGUUAAGGAAAAUUGAUAGGAAAGAGUAGUUGUUGGUGGUUACUAACAGCAAAGUUUCUCGCUUGUUUGCUGGUACACAAGAAAGGUGUGUUGCUUGCAAGAAAACAGUUUAUCCCAUUGAGAAGAGCAAAUUUUAGGGUGUUAUAGAGCGAUACAGUUCGGUGCAGAAUGUAUCGUACUUAUACAGAGGCUGUUUUAUCCUGGGGAUGCCAUGGUUGCUAGACUGUCGUGCACACGUCGGGUAGAGCCGCGAAACGUCUUAAAGAGAGCGACAUUGUCCGCGACUCAGCCAGAUUAUUCUAUCGGUAAUUCGUUCCAAAUUUAUUGUUUUUAAUUUCGAUAUAACAAUUUCUCUUAUAUAUAUAGGCAAACUAAACCACCUCACGCGCUUCACCGCCGUCCGACCGAUCC